CUGACAUACAGCCACGUUUAUAAGCGUUAGCGUAUCUGUACAAAAAAGAAUACCUUUCUUUUCUCCGGUGCUUUCUCGACACAAAAUAUAUUAAAUUUGGGAUCACAUCACAGAAUUCAAUUCCCUUCUCAAGAAAUCAUCUUCAUCCGAUCGCGAGACAUUUUUUCUUCGAUUUAACCGAGGGUUUGACGCUGAACAGCUAUUGGUUCAUUUAUCUGGAGCACUUUUGUGUGUGUAAAUAAUUGUAUAUCUAUUUUUGUUUGCUUUAUCAGAGGAGUAUUGUUGUGAUAGAGAGGGGAAGAGGGGAAGAGUUUGAUGCUACUUUGUAUUAUUCUACAUCAAAUACUAAUGUAACAUUUCCAAUUUGUAUUGUUUAUUUGGCUUAAUUUUUUCUCCUCCAUUGCGUGAAGACAAUUUAUUCUGCUCGGCAACACCAUUUGAUGCAAAGGGUAUAAUGCUACAGUUGUUGGCCUUUGCUCUUGCCAUAAUGGCAUUGAUGCUCUGUUUGUUUCUUGUACUUAGUGGUGCUGUGUGCACAUAACUCUCUGUUUCACAUCCAUAUCAGUUUCUUGAAUUUCGGGUGCAAUCAUUUUUCCCUCUUUCUGGUUCUUAAAUAUCCCGUCUCCACAUAAAUACACACGGACACAGAUGUCUCAGUGCAUAUGAAUGAGUUUCUGAUACAUAUGACAUUUAGUAUAUUUCUCGUCAUAGAAUGUGACAGAAAAAUGUACAUAGUUUUAUACCUUGAUAUUGGAUUGGAUGAGUGCAGGUUCUUGGUCAUCUGGAAUUUUUAGGUGGGCAUGUUGUUAUAAUUGAGUAAAAAUGGAGAGCUUAGCACAGUUGGAAGUUUUGUGUGAAAGGCUGUACAAUUCACAGGAUUCAGCUGAACGAAUGCAUGCCGAGAACACUCUGAAAUGUUUUUCCACAAACAUUGAUUACAUUUCACAGUGCCAAUUUAUUCUGGACAAUGCACUGACACCUUAUGCCUUGAUGUUGGCUAGUUCGAGCUUGUUGAAGCAAGUGACCGAGCAUAGUCUCUCUUUGCAGCUCCGCCUUGAUAUCCGAAACUACAUUGUAAACUAUCUGGCAAACAGAGGUCCUGAGCUGCAGUCCUUUGUGAUUGGAUCUUUAGUUCAGCUUUUAUGUCGACUUACCAAGUUUGGAUGGUUUGAUGAUGAUAUAUUUAGAGAUGUGGUUAAAGAAUCAAUUAAAUUCUUAAGCCAGGCGACAUCAGAUCAUUAUGCUAUUGGUUUAAGGAUAUUAAAUCAGCUUGUUUCUGAGAUGAAUCAGCCAAAUCCAGGAGUGCCUUCAUCGCAUCAUCGAAAGGUGGCCUGCUCUUUCAGGGAUCAGUCUCUUUUCCAAAUUUUUCAGAUAUCCUUGACUUCGUUGCAUCAACUAAAAAAUGAUGCCAUGAGUCGCUUGCAAGAAUUGGCACUAUCCCUAUCACUGAAGUGUUUGUCUUUUGAUUUUGUUGGGACGACAAUUGAUGAAAGUUCUGAAGAAUUUGGAACUGUUCAGAUUCCAUCUUCUUGGAAGCCCCUGUUAGAGGAUCUUUCUACGCUUGAGAUAUUUUUCGAUUAUUAUGCACUCACAAAGCCUCCUAUCUCCAAGGAGUCGCUGGAGUGCUUAGUGCGAUUAGCUUCUGUAAGACGCUCUCUUUUCACUAACGAUGCUACGCGCACCAAGUUUUUGGACCAUCUCAUAUCAGGAACAAAAGAAAUUUUAAGAACAGGGCAAGGUCUUGCCGAUCAUGAUAACUACCAUGAGUUUUGUCGUCUUCUUGGACGAUUCAGAGUUAACUAUCAGUUGUCAGAUCUUGUGAUUAUGGAUGGCUACAGCGAUUGGAUACGUUUAGUUGCAGAGUUCACUUCCAAAUCUUUGCUGUCCUGGCAGUGGGCUAGCAGCAGUGUGUAUUACCUUUUAGGGCUGUGGUCUAGGUUGGUCAGUUCUGUACCGUACUUGAAAGGUGAUGCACCUAGCUUACUUGAUGAAUUUGUGCCAAAGAUCACAGAGGGUUUUAUCACGUCAAGAUUGGAUUCUGCUCAGGCUGGGCUGCCAGAUGAUAUUUCAGAGCAUCCAUUGGACAAUGUUGACCUUCUUCAAGAUCAGUUGGAUUGCUUCCCCAAUCUUUGUCGAUUUCGAUAUGAAAGCAGUAGCAUGUUUCUUAUAAAUGUCAUGGAACCUAUUUUACAAAUAUAUGUGGAAAAAGCUCAGCUCCAGACUGGUGAUACCAGUGAACUUUCUGUGGUUGAAGCCAAGCUUGCUUGGAUUGUACAUAUAAUAGCUGUUAUUGUGAAAAUAAAACAGUGUGCUGGGUCUAGUGUUGAGUCACAGGAAGUGAUUGAUGCAGAACUUUCUGCUCGUGCUUUGAGAUUAGUAAAUGUUGCUGAUAGUGGGUUGCACAGUCAGAGAUAUGGUGAAAUAAGCAAACAAAGGCUUGAUCGUGCAAUUCUCACAUUUUUUCAGCAUUUUAGGAAAAAUUAUGUGGGAGACCAUGCAAUGUAUUCAUCAAAGCAGUUAUAUGCCCGAUUAUCUGACCUUCUUGGACUCCAUGACCAUCUUCUAUUAUUGGACUUUAUUGUCCGAAAAAUUGCUACCAACCUCAAGUGUUACAUAGAGAGUGAGGAAGUUAUUGAUCAUACUUUAAGUUUGUUCUUGGAGUUGGCAUCUGGCUAUAUGACAGGAAAGCUACUUCUCAAGUUGGAUUCUGUCAAAUUCAUACUGUUACAUCAUCACAAGGAGCAUUUCCCAUUUCUGGAAGAGUACAGAUGCUCUCGAAGCAGAACAACAUUUUAUUACACCAUCGGCUGGUUAAUCUUCAUGGAGGACAGUACUAUUUUGUUUAAGCCAUCAAUGGAUGCUCUACUGAAAGUUUUCAUGACUUUGGAAUCAACACCUGUGACAAUGUUUCGAACUGAUUCCGUGAAAUAUGCAUUAAUUGGGUUGAUGAGAGAUCUAAGAGGAAUUGCAAUGGCCACAAAUAGUCGCAGAACUUAUGGGCUUCUUUUUGAUUGGAUUUACCCUCAUAUGCCUCUUCUCUUGAGGGGCAUCUCACAUUGGGCCGAUACACCAGAGGUGACGACACCAUUGCUGAAACUUAUGGCUGAGUUUGUGCUGAACAAAUCUCAGCGUCUAACUUUUGAUACUUCGUCUCCGAAGGGCAUACUUCUUUUCAGAGAAGUGAGCAAACUACUUGUUGCAUAUGGAACAAAAAUAUUGACUCUUCCAAAUGUUGCUGAUAUCUAUUCCUUCAAAUACAAGGGAAUAUGGAUUUCCUUGACUAUGCUUUCUAGAGCUCUUGCUGGAAACUAUGUGAACUUUGGUGUGUUUGAACUUUAUGGGGAUAGAGCACUCGCUGAUGCACUUGAUAUUGCAGUGAAGAUGACACUAGCAAUUCCACUGGCUGAUAUCUUGGCUUACAGGAAGUUAACAAGAGCAUACUUUGCAUUUUUGGAGGUUCUAUUCAACAGCCAUAAUGUGUUUGUGCUCAAUCUUGAGGCAAACACCUUCAUCCAUAUAGUUGGUUCGCUUGAGUCAGGUCUUAAAGCUCUCGAUACUGGAAUAUCCUCACAGUGUGCAUCUGCAGUCGAUAACUUGGCUGCUUUCUAUUUCAACAACAUAACCAUGGGGGAGGCGCCUACUUCAACAGCUGCAAUUAAUCUUGCCAGGAACCUUGCAGAAUGCCCCAGAUUGCUUCCAGAACUUCCUUUUUUCAGAUACUCAAAACUCUCUUUGAGAUUGUUUUAUAUUCGGACUGUGGCAACCAAUGGAGUCUUAGCAGGCCAAUGUUGAGCUUGAUACUCAUAAGUGGGCAGAUGUUUACGGACGUGAAAGCUCAAAUUUUGGCUUCACAGCCUGCUGAUCAACAUGAGCGCCUUUCACUGUGUUUUGACAAAUUGAUGGCCGACAUUACUCGAAGCUUGGAUUCAAAGAACAGGGACAAGUUUACCCAAAAUCUCACCAUAUUUAGGCAUGACUUCCGUGUGAAGUAGUUAGUGCAUCCCUUCGUGACCACUGUUCCUGUGUUAGUAUGAUGCAAACUUGAUCUAUAUUGUGGAUGGAUUCACUGAACUUUACCCCUCUGGAAUCAAGCAUAUAUUUUUGUGGUAGUUGAAGGGCUCUUCUGCAGGUUGAGACCUCUUUACGAGUAAAUUGGUCCCUGAGAAAUGAGUUGAAUCCAUGGCAUUGUACAUUCGUUUUUGAAAUGGUGGCAACUUGUGAAAUAGACUAAUAGCAUCAGAAUAGGAUUUUUCAGGCUUAUGGCUGGUGAAAUUGGGUUUUUGGUUUGAUGGCUGAUGUAUAUUUGGAAGUCCCAUCAGUUUGAAGGGGGUUUGUGCAUUCAUAUUAUUCUUUUAGUUGUGGAUGAUAGAAAAAGAAAAUUAAAAGAUAUUUUGUACAAAAUAUUACUCUAUAUUCAUGGUUUUAAGUAGUAGUGAAACUUAAAUUCAGAUUAUGUAAUAGAAAAAAUGAAGGUUAGUUUGAUAGUUUCCAAGUUAUGAUGCCAUUUUGUUUGGGUUUGCUUAACGUCUUGACAAUGAUGUAUGUAGCGUGAAAGAAUGUAAUGUGCUUGAACA